rnacentral:lncRNA from 1 species
CUGUUGGAAGAGGGCUACGUGAUGUUAGUUUCUGUUUCUUAACAGAACUUGCACUUUUGUCAUUUUUGCCAUGAUUAAUGUGUGCUUAUGAACUUGAGCCCUACAUAUGUCUUGAUCUAUGCCAUGCUAUCUUUCCAGGGGUGUAUGCCAUGUAUUUUUGUGAUCAAUGUGGUGACUAGAACAAGCAUGCAAACUAGGGAUGAUAAUGUUGCUGAUUUCAGGAACUUAGUAUUUUCACUAAGUCAUGUCCUGCUGUUAUUUUUAUGCCAUAUGUUCAUGUUGUUACAGAGAGAUCUAUGCCCUUUUUGAGCAUGAUCAGUAAGGGUGUUUUGAACAUAUGGAUGUGCUCUAUCCAUCCAUGCCUUUGUUGGCAUUUAUGGAGUAGUCUAGCAUGUCAUUUUCGUGCUCUACUUUUGCUUCAAAAUGUUUCCUGGCAGAUUGUUUACAUGAUAUUCAAUUUUCACAAGGUUGUUGUAGUUGAUCCGGGUAUGCUAUGAUGUUGUUCUUGCCAUGUAUAGCUUCUAUGCCAUGUCUUCUUGAUGGGUUUAUGCUAAGUUUAUCAUGAGAUGCUCUGUAGUGAGUGCAUCGAGCUCACGAACAUGCCUACUUGAUAUCUGUUUUUGCCAUGUACAGUUUUUCUGCUAAGUCUGAGAUCUGUAAUGAAACUUGCUAUGUUUACAUGGGUGCCAUCAUAUCCACUAGUCAUUUUUGGCUUAUGGUCAGUAACGUACUUUUUAUCUAUGCUUUGAGUAGAUUCCUGCCAUGUCUUGUUUUGCUAUUAUAAGUUCCUGUAGCUUGUUGUUUGCUUGCUCUAAACAUGCCUUCCUGAUGUUAAUUUCUGGCAUACUAGUAUUUUCACUGUCUGUGAACCUGAUUUUUUUUGCACUUUCACCAUGCUUGUUUGAGCCUGUUAUGAUGUGAUUUAGCCAUAGCUCAGUGUUCCUAUUUUGCCAAGCAUCUCCUGUAGAUUACUGCCAUAUGAUUUGUUUUUAUGUUGGGGUGCUGUAGCAUAGUUUCUUGUUGCAUGCUAAGUAGCAUCGUGCUGUUAAACGCAGAUUCGCGUCAUUCUUGUUUUGCUUGUCAUUUGCAAACCGUGCAUCCGAUUCCGGUGAUCUUUAUAUCGAUUUCAACCGAAAUCAUCUCAUCUUUCCAGCGGCAUACUUGGUAUGCCAAGUUGAUGCCUUGUUCAUCAUUUUUCCUUCUGGAGCACACAUAUGCAUUGCAUAUCACAUCUCGCAUAGCAUGUCAGGUAUUGCAUCAUGUUGCUUGUGCAUUGUUCCAUGUUUGAUUGUGGUUCCAUUGCUUGUGUUCUUGCUUUGGGUAGAGCCGGGAGACGAGUACGUGAACGAGGAACCUGUUGAGAAUGUCUACGAGGAUCCAGCCUUCGACAACUCUGAGAACCUUGCAGGCAAGAUGACCAUACCUUCGAUAUCACUUCUAUCUUUGCUUGCUAGAUGCCCGCUCUUUUUGCCAUGCCUAUGCUACGUUACCUACCACUUGCUAUAUCAUGCCACCCAUAUUGCCAUGUCAAGCCUCUAACCAUCCUGUCCUAGCAAACCGUUGUUUGGCUAUGUCACCGCUUUUGCUCAGCCCCUCUUAUGGCGUUGCUAGUUGCAGGUGAAGAUGAAGUUUGUUCCUGGUCGGAACAUGGAUAUUUUGGGAUAUCACAAUAUCUAUUGUUUUAAUUAAUGCACCUAUAUACUUGGUAAAGGGUGGAAGACUCGGCCUUAUGCCUGGUGUUUUGUUCCACUCUUGCCGCCCUAGUUUCCGUCAUACCGGUGUUAUGUUCCUUGAUUUUGCGUUCCUUACGCGGUUGGGUGAUUUAUGGGACCCCCGUGACAGUUCUCUUUGAAUAAAACUCUUCCAGCAAGGACCAACCUUGGUUUUACCAUUUGCCACCUACACCCCUUUUUCCCUUGGGUUUUCGCGAGCCCGAGGGUCAUCUUUAUUUUAGCCCCCCCGGGCCAGUGCUCCUUCGAGUGUUGGUCCGAACCGAGCAACCUGCGGGGCCACCACGGGGAAACUCGAGGCCUGGUUUUACUCAUAGCUUGACUUAUCCGGAUGUGCCCUGAGAACGAGAUAUGUGCAGCUCCUAUCGGGAUUUGUCAGCACAAUCGGGCGGCUUUGCUGGUCUAGUUUUACCAUUGUCGAAAUGUCAUGCGAACCGGGAUUCCGAGACUGAUCGGGUCUUCCAGGGAGAAGGUUUAUCCUUCGUUGACCGUGAGAGCUUAUGAUGGGCUAAGUUGGGACACCCCUGCAGGGUAUUAUCUUUCGAAAGCCGUGCCCGCGGUUAUGAGGCAGAUGGGAAUUUAUUAAUGUCCGGUUGUAGAAAACCCGAAGUUGACCUUAAUUAAAAUACAUCAACCGCGUGUGUAGCCGUGAUGGUCUCUUCUCAGCGGAGUCCGGGAAGUGAACACGGUGUUGGAGUUAUGUUUGAUGUAAGUAGUUUCAGGAUCACUUCUUGAUCGCUACAAGCUUCACGACCGUGCCUUGCUUCUCUUCUCGCUCUCUUUUGUGAUCGUAGCCACCAUAUAUGCUAGUCGCUUGCUGCAGCUCCACCUCAUUACACCACCCUUCCCUUAAGCUUAAAUAGUCUUGAUCUCGCGGGUGUGAGAUUGCUGAGUCCCCAUGACUCAUAGAUUCUACCAAAACAGAUGCAGGUACCGGUGAUACCAGCGCAGAUGGCGCAACUGAGCUGAGGUGGGAGUUUGAUGAGGCCCUUGGUCGUUACUAUGUUUCAUUUCCAGACGAUUAGUAGUGGAGCCCAGUUGGGACGAUCGGGGAUCUGUGUUGCAUUUGGGGUAGUCUUUUUUUAUUUUGGUUCCGUAGUCGGACCUUGAGUGUAAACUGAAUGAUGGAUGUUUAUUUAUGUAUUGUGUGAAGUGGCGACUGUAAGCCAACUAUGUAUCUCUUUCCCUUAUGUAUUACUUGGGUUGUGUGAAGAUUACCUCACUUGCGACAUUGCUUUCAAUGCGGUAUGCCUCUAAGUCGUGCUUCGACACGUGGGAGAUAUAGCCGCAUCGAGGGUGUUACAAGUUGGUAAUCAGAGCCUUCCCCGACCUUAGGAGCCCCACUGCUCAAUCGUUUUUAGCGGCCGAGUUGUGUCUAGAAAAAAUGUUUUGAGUCAUUUAGGAUUAUAUAUAUCGGAGAGUUAGGAAUUCUUUUUACUCCUCAGUCCCUUCGUCGCUCUGGUGAGGUCUCCUGACGUAGAAGUUUUGACUUUCCUCUCCUCAAAUUUCACUAAAUUUUUUUUAGGAUCACGCGGGUAUCUUGGAAUCGUUCUGAUGGUUUUAUGAUGAGAACAUUGUCUUGGUGCCUCCUGUCAGGGGUUUAGUGGAAGUGUCUUGGGGAGUUGAGCUCUGAGGUGUUGUCGUCAUAAUUUUAUCGUUGCAGUUCUGGAAUACCUGAGUUUAGUACGCCGACAUCGAAAAUCUCUUUUAUGCAGUUGUUGGUGAGAUAACCCCGAUAACCCAGUAUUGAGGUGAGUACGGGAGUAUUGCCAUGACUUGUAUAACGGAUGUUUUUCGAAGGUUGAGGUACAUGAUUUCCGAAGGUUUCUUGCUUAUGUGUUGACGGAUGGAUACAGCUGGAUGUAGGGAUUGUUAGUUUGGGUGAGAUAUAUUGCUUCCCCUGUAUCCCCAACACCUGAUUGCAUAACCAGAAAGUUUCGGGAGUUUAUAGGUGGGAUUCAAGUAGCUCUAGCACUUCUUCCCGCAGAUAUUUGGUUUGUGAUUGGGUAAUCCUUUCCACUUAUUUGUUCCAUUCAUACCUUUUUUUUAUUUUUCUUUCAUCAAUAUCUCUUAUCAAGUGGCUUCUCACCUUAAUGGACGUGAUGUUUACUUUGGAAUUCAUUUGUUCAUCCCUGUUCGAAUGUUUAUUGUGAAGACUAUAUGUUGCAAUUUCUAUCCGUUGAUUCAACUUGUCUAUCUGUCAAUCAAGAUGCUAACGGAUGUCACCCUCUUCAGGAUGGCUCCGCCAACGCGUUAGAAUCCGGAACGCAGUGAUGGGAGUCAGGCGAACCCUCCACCACCACCUCCGCCUCCGGAGGCAUGGCAAACUUUGAUGGCAACCACAAACGCCAACGCUUAGUUGUUGAUUCAGCUGAUGCAAGAGCGUAACCAAGGCCAACGCAACCAAGGGAAUCAAGGUCAAGGGCAGUUCUACCAUCAGCCUCAGUUCCCUACCCUCAACCAGUUCCUUGCAAAUCAGCCAAAGUCUUUCAGCUACUGUGUCGAGGCCACAGACGUCGACGAUUGGCUCGUGGAUAUCAACAAGCAUUUCGAAUGCAGCAAUGUCAGACCUGAGGACUACGUCAAGUUCGCGUCUUUUCAGCUCAAGGAUCAAGCAGCUGAUUGGUUCCAGCAAUACAAGGAUUCCAGAGGAGGUCGAGUGAUUACUUGGACUGAUUUCUGUCGGGACUUUAAAGCUCACCACAUUCCUACCAGUGUUGUUGAGAGCAAGCGUGAGGAGUUCCGCAAUCUCAAGCAAGGCAACAUGUCAGUGUACGAAUAUAACAAGCAGUUUCAGAAACUUGCUCGCUUCGCUAAACAAGAUGUUCCUGAUGAAAAGAGUAUGAUCUAUCAAUUCAGAGGUGGCCUUAGAGAGGAUCUGCAGUUAGCUCUCGUUCUUGUUGAGCCUACUCAGUUUGAUCAAUUCUACAAUAUGGCCCUCAAGCAAGAAGGUGCUCAGCUCAAGUGUGAGGCUUCUAAGAAGAGAAUCAGGGAUGCAGUUCAGUCUUCUUCUUCCUCUCAAGUGGCAGCAAAGCAGCAAAAGUUCUACCUUCCUCCUCCUCCGUUUCGUCAGCCUUACCUACAGAAGAACUCAGGUGGUCGUGGAUCUUCCCACCCACCCAACCCAGGUUAUCAGAACAAGUCUCAGCCUCAAGCUCCAAGGUCAAAUGCUCCUUAUCACCGUCCGCUCUCAGAGGUGACCUUCAACAAGUGUCAGCAAAAAGGUCACUAUGCGAACAAAUGCUUCAACCAAAGGCGCCUAACUCCUCCUCCUGUGAGGUCUUCCAGCAAUGCAGUGGUCAAGCAUAAUCUGAAGCAUGCAAAGGUGAACUUGAUGAAUGCAGCUCAGGCAGAGGAUUCUUCAGAUAUGAUCAUGGGUAACCUUCCAGUUAACUCUAUUCCUGCAAAAGUCUUAUUUGAUACUGGUGCAUCGCAUUGUUUCAUGUCAAGACCGUUUUUUGCAAAGCAUGAUUUCACUUCUUCUCAUUUGGAUAAACCCAUGGCUGUCAUUUCUCCGGGUAAACGGUUGAGCUCCAGUUUGGUGGUUCCGGAUACCACAAUCAAGAUGGGCGACUAUAGAUUUCUGUCUUCUCCAAUUGUUCUUGGUGACUCUGAUAUUGAUCUUAUUCUCGGGAUGGACUGGCUUUCGCAGCACAAAGCUCAACUUGAUUGUGCUGCCAGGCAAAUUCAAUUGACACACUCUUUUGAGGAUGUUAUCAUCUAUGCCGCUCGUGAUGAAACCAUUCGGUUGUUUUCUCUCAAUGAGAAGGGCGAGCUACACGCAAUCUCUCAGAUUCCAGUCGUUUGUGAGUACCAAGAUGUCUUUCCAGAAGAGCUUCCGGGUAUGCCUCCGCAUCGGCCAGUCGAGUUCGUUAUCGAUCUUGAGCCUGGCACUGAACCCGUUUGCAAGCGUCCUUACAAGCUUGGACCUGAAGAACUGAAGGAAUUGAAGAAUCAGCUCGAUGAACAAGAGCGUCUGGGUUUGAUCAGACCGAGUUCAUCACCAUGGAGAUGUGGAGUUCUUUUUGUCCAGGAGAAGGAUAGCACGGACCGACUUUGCGUCGAUUACCGUCCAUUGAACAAGAAGACAAUCAAGAACAAGUAUCCACUUCCCAACAUCAAUGAGCUGUUCGAGCAACUCAAAGGUGCUAAAGUAUUCUCCAAGCUUGACCUCCGUAUGGGUUAUCAUCAGAUUCGCAUUCGUGAGCAAGAUAUUCCCAAGACAGCUUUCAGAACAAGCUUUGGUUCUUAUGAAUAUACCGUCAUGUCUUUCGGCCUUGUCAAUGCUCCUCCAACAUUCUCUCGAAUGACGAACUUUAUCUUCAACCCCUACACCAAUGAUUUCGUCUUGGUGUAUCCCGAUGAUAUUUUGGUCUUCUCCAAGAACAAGCAGGAUCAUGCCAAACAUUUGCGAUUGGUGCUCGACAAGCUCAGAGAGCAUCAAUUCUAUGCGAAGUUUUCCAAAUGUGAGUUCUGGCUUGAUGAAGUUCUUUAUCUUGGUCACAUCAUCUCCGCCAAGGGCAUCACUGUUAAUCCCGAGAAGGUGUCUUCAAUUGUGAAUUGGGAACCUCCUCAGAAUGUCAAGCAGCUCCGUAGUUUUCUCGGUCUUGCAAGCUAUUGCCGAAGAUUCGUUGAGAACUUCUCUAAGAUUGCAAAGCCUCUUUCCAACCUCCUCUAGAAGCAUGUCAAGUAUGUCUGGACGCCUGAGUGUGACGUUGCUUUCAACACCCUCAAAGAGAAGCUAGUUACAGCUCCUGUCUUAACUCCUCCUGAUGAAUCCAAGCCAUUCGAAGUAUUCUGUGAUGCUUCUCUUCAAGGUCUCGGUGCUGUGUUAAUGCAAGAGAAGAAAGUUGUGGCCUAUACCUCUUGUCAGUUGAAGCCCAACGAGAAGAACUACCCCACUCACGAUCUUGAGUUGGCGGCAGUUGUCCAUGCAUUGAUAACAUGGAGACAUCUCUUGUUGGGAAGGAAAGUGGACAUUUUCACCGAUCACAAGAGUCUCAAGUAUAUCUUCACUCAACCCAACCUCAACCUCAGGCAUACUCGGUGGGUCGAAAUGAUUCAAGAGUACAACCCAAGUAUUGAAUAUACUCCUGGCAAGGCGAAUGUGAUUGCAGAUGCUCUGAGCAGAAAGGCUUAUUGCAACAGCUUAAUUCUCAAGCCCUUCCAACCGGAUCUUUGUGAAGCUUUCCGCAAGCUGAAUCUUCAAGUUCUUCCUCAAGGCUUUCUUGCCAACCUCAUAGUCUCUCCUUCUUUGGAAGAUCAAAUUCGUGAGGCACAACUCCUGGAUACCAUGGUGAAGAAGGUGAAACGUGGUAUUGACAAGGGCAUUUCCAAAUACAAGUGCUAUCGCUUGGAUGACAAAGAUACUCUUUUCUUCGAGGAUCGAAUUGUGGUUCCUAAAGGCGAUCUGAGAAAAGUCAUCAUGAAUGAGGCACACAGUUCCCUCCUAUCCAUUCAUCCUGGAAGUACGAAGAUGUACCAUGACCUCAAGCAGUCGUAUUGGUGGACUCGAAUGAAGCGAGAAAUUGCUCAAUUCGUGAAUGAAUGUGAUGUCUGCAGAAGGGUGAAAGCAGAACACCAAAGACCAGCUGGUCUCCUCCAACCUCUUGCUAUUCCGGAAUGGAAGUUUGAUCACAUUGAGAUGGACUUCGUGACUGGAUUUCCCAAGUCCAAGCGUGGAAAUGAUGCUAUCUUCGUUGUCAUUGACAAGCUUACUAAAGUGGCUCAUUUCCUUCCUAUCAAAGAAUCUAUCACAGCAGCUCAGCUGGCAGAGCUAUACACCUCCAGAAUUGUCUCCUUGCACGGUAUUCCGCAAUUGAUCUCUUCAGACCGUGGAAGCAUCUUCACUUCUAAGUUCUGGGACUCCUUUCAGAAGGCCAUGGGCACCAACAUUCGUUUCAGCACAGCUUUCCAUCCUCAAACAAGUGGCCAAGUCGAGCGAGUCAAUCAAAUCCUUGAAGAUAUGCUCAGGGCUUGUGUCAUCUCUUUCGGUAUGAAGUGGGAAGAUUGUCUUCCAUAUGCCGAGUUCUCCUACAACAACAGCUUCCAAGCGAGUUCGGGCAAGGCCCCAUUUGAAAUUCUCUAUGGCAGGAAGUGCCGUACUCCUCUCAAUUGGUCUGAGACAGGUGAACGCCAACUUCUUGGCAACGACUUGAUCACAGAAGCCGAAGAAAUGUGCAAAGUCAUUCAUGAGAAUCUCAAAGCCGCGCAAUCGUGCCAGAAGGGCUAUUAUGAUGACAAGCACCGUGAUGUGGCUUUUCAAAUCGGAGACCAUGUCUACCUCCGCGUCUCUCCAAUGAAAGGCACUCGUCGCUUCGGUAUCAAAGGGAAGCUUGCCCCUAGAUACAUGGGUCCUUUCAAGAUCAUUGGCAAAAGAGGCGAUCUCGCCUAUCAACUUGAGCUUCCGUCCAAUUUUCCGAACGUGCACGAUGUGUUUCACGUGUCACAGCUUCGCAAGUGCUUCAAGAUUCCUGAACGCACUGUCAACUUUGAAGAAAUUGACCUCCAAGAAGAUCUCUCUUAUCAUGAGCACCCCGUUGCUAUUCUUGAAGAAACCGAGCGCAAGACUCGCAACAAGUCAAUCAAAUUCCUGAAAGUGAAGUGGUCACACCAUUCCGACCGAGAAGCCACCUGGGAGCGCGAGGAUCACCUCCGUUCCGAAUAUCCGGAGUUCUUUCAGUCCUAGAUCUCGGGACGAGAUCCUCUUGUAGUGGUGGAGUGUUGUAACACCCCGGAUGUAACUUGCCAUAUUUGUAACUCCAACUCUUGCCAUUUUCGGCAUUGUGAUAUGAUAUUCCCUCCGUGGUUGGGUUUUUCUUCAUUUUGCAUUUUUUCCAUGUCAUGCAUUUCAUAUCAUGUCAUCAUGUGCAUCGCAUUUGCAUACGUGUUCGUCUCAUGAUUCCGAGCAUUUUCCCCGUUGUUCGUUUUGCAAUCCGGCACUCCUAUGUUCCCCGGCGCUCCCUUUUACAUUUUUCCAUGUGCGGGUGUUGAACAUUCUUGGAAUGGACCGAGCCUUGCCAAGUGGCCCUGGUAUAGCACCGGUAGACCACCUGUCAAGUUUCGGGUCAUUAGGAGCUCGUUUGGUACUCCAACGGUUAACCGCACUCUCGUAAAGGCCUCUUUUGAGUUGCAGCCCAACACCCCUCCAAAGUGGCCCAAAACCCAGCAAACUCCCCUCCAUGCUCUCGGUCGUUCGAUCACGAUCGUGUGGGCGAAAACCGCACUCCAUUUGGAGUCUCCUAGCUCCCUCUACCUAUAAAUUCGUGCAGCCCUCCUCCAAAUCCGGAUCCCUAACCCUAGCCUCCUUCCUCCGAGCGCCGGACACGUCCGGCCCGAGCCGGACAAAUCGCGCCGCCGCCCCGAACCAACCAGCCGCCGCCACCUGUCCCGCCGCCAUCCNNNNNNNNNNNNNNNNNNNNNNNNNNNNNNNNNNNNNNNNNNNNNNNNNNNNNNNNNNNNNNNNNNNNNNNNNNNNNNNNNNNNNNNNNNNNNNNNNNNNNNNNNNNNNNNNNNNNNNNNNNNNNNNNNNNNNNNNNNNNNNNNNNNNNNNNNNNNNNNNNNNNNNNNNNNNNNNNNNNNNNNNNNNNNNNNNNNNNNNNNNNNNNNNNNNNNNNNNNNNNNNNNNNNNNNNNNNNNNNNNNNNNNNNNNNNNNNNNNNNNNNNNNNNNNNNNNNNNNNNNNNNNNNNNNNNNNNNNNNNNNNNNNNNNNNNNNNNNNNNNNNNNNNNNNNNNNNNNNNNNNNNNNNNNNNNNNNNNNNNNNNNNNNNNNNNNNNNNNNNNNNNNNNNNNNNNNNNNNNNNNNNNNNNNNNNNNNNNNNNNNNNNNNNNNNNNNNNNNNNNNNNNNGCGCCCGGAUCCGGCCACCCCAGCAACUCCGACGAUCCUCGGGCCAACUCCGGUGAGAUCCGGCCACGCCUCGGUUCGCGUGCCGGCGAACCCCUCAGUUGACUCCCCCCCCCAAUUUUCGUCUAAGUCAUUUCUGUCAUUAUUUUAUUGCAUUUUCAUCGCAUCACAUCUUUGCAACCGUGGCUCCGUUUUGGGCGUGUAGCAUAUCAAUUUGUUCGUCUCGAAGAGUAGAUCAUUUCAUCUCACUGCAUCAUUUUCAUUUGAGCUCAUCUUGAUACCCGAAAUGCUGUUGGAAGAGGGCUACGUGAUGUUAGUUUCUGUUUCUUAACAGAACUUGCACUUUUGUCAUUUUUGCCAUGAUUAAUGUGUGCAUCUUAUGAACUUGAGCCCUACAUAUGUCUUGAUCUAUGCCAUGCUAUCUUUCCAGGGGUGUAUUCUAUGUAUUUUUGUAAUCAAUGUGGUGACUAGAACAAGCAUGCAAACUAGGGAUGAUAAUGUUGCUGAUUUCAGGAACUUAGUAUUUUCACUAAGUCAUGUCCUGCUGUUAUUUUUAUGCCAUAUGUUCAUGUUGUUACAGAGAGAUCUAUGCCCUUUUUGAGCAUGAUCAGUAAGGGUGUUUUGAACAUAUGGAUGUGCUCUAUCCAACCAUGCCUUUGUUGGCAUUUAUGGAGUAGUCUAGCAUGUCAUUUUCGUGCUCUACUUUUGCUUCAAAAUGUUUCCUGGCAGAUUGCUUACAUGAUAUUCAAUUUUCACAAGGUUGUUGUUGUUGAUCCGGGUAUGCUAUGAUGUUGUUCUUGCCAUGUAUAGCUUCUAUGCCAUGUCUUCUUGAUGGGUGUAUGCUUAGUUUAUCACGAGAUGCUCUGUAGUGAGUGCAUCGAGCUGACGAACAUGCCUACUUGAUAUCUGUUUUUGCCAUGACCAGUUUUUCUGCUAAGUCUGAGAUCUGUAAUGAAACUUGCUAUGUUUACAUGGGUGCCAUCAUAUCCACUAUUCCUUUUUGGCUUAUGGUCAGUAAGGGACUUUUGAUCUAUGCUUUGAGUAGAUUCCUG